rnacentral:SRP_RNA from 1 species
AGCCGGGGAGUUAGCGGUGCCCUGUACCUGCAAUCCGCUAUAGCAGGGGUGAUGAUCGGCCUCGGAUCGUGUUUCUGUGGGGCUGCCCAGGAUAAGCGACGUUGAUGUUUGGGUCUCACGCGACAGGAAUCUGUGAACCGUGUCAGGUUGGGAACAAAGCAGCACUAAGCGGAACCUCCUUGUGUGCCGUGAGGCAGCCUGGACUGAGUUGGCUGUUCUGGUAACGCUCAUGGA